rnacentral:lncRNA from 1 species
AGUCACUGGGAACAUGCCUUUGGAGGGUAUAUCUCCUCUCUGGCUCUUUCACUUCUUUUCUGCUACCUGGAUGACAGGAAGUGAGCAACUUUCCAUGCCCUUCCACCAUGAUGUUUCUGCCUUGGAGCCAGCUAACCAUGGACUCAAACCUCUGAAACCAUGAGUCAAAAUAAACCUCUCCUCCUUUAAAUUGUUUUCUCAGGUAUUUGGUCAUAGGGACAAAAAGCUAAUAUAUUAAGCAAGGACCUUCAGGUAGAGAGGUUGUCCAGAAUUAUCGGGGUGGACCCAGUAUCAUCACAUGGGAUUUAGAAGCAAGACCUUUUCCAGCGGUAGACAGAGUGAGAUGCAACUGGAGAAGAGAGGCAGAGAGACUCGGUGUUGCUGACUUUGACGAUGGAGCCAGGAGGCCGUAAUCUGAGGGGCAGGGGCAGCCACUAGAAGCUGAGAAGGCCAGGAAACAGACUCUCCACUAAGGUUUACCAGAAGGGACAGCAGCCCUACCAUCACCUUGGCUGGGGCUCAGCGAGAUCCAAGUCGGACUUCUGACCUGUGGAACUGCAAGGAUUUUGCACACAGAACAGCCCAUAUGUGAUGCUCUAUGUAUAGAACACCAGGCGCAGCUGAUUCCAAAAUCAUCCUUAAUGCUUCUCACAUACGUCUUAUGAGGGCAUCGGAUCUGAAAGUGUCCCAAAUGCUUCUGCUGCCGAGCUUUCUAGUACUUGGACAUCGCUGGACAGCAGAGGAGAAUUGGUGCCCCAUAAUUUGAUGAUAAAACAUCUGGGCGCUGCCGAGAAUGCAAAGUCUUGGCAGCAGGGCACUGUGUGCAUCUUACCUCCUCGGUGACCCCACCACCCAGCACAUCAGAGACACUGCUAAAUAUUUUGAAAUUAACCCAGAUGUUCCCCACGAGGAAGAAGAGAGGAUUCAUGAGAAGGGAGGGUCAGGUCCCCCACGUCCCUAUGAGCCCACAACAAUCCUUCGGCUGAUCGCCCCUGGCAAGGCCACCCCUACCUCGGCCCUGCCCCAGGAGGGCGCUGUGAUCCUGACCAAGUGAAUGGUUGACGGGGCAACGUGGUGACCUGUGCUCAGAAGAGGAAACCUCGCGGCACAGGAACAAGCAGCAUUUACUUACAGCUCCUACACUUAGGAAGCAGAGUCCCCCUAAGACAGGCCACGAAAACCCCUCCUCUGGCCAGGUCCUCGGGAGAGUCAUUUGUGAAGUGCUCACAAGCAUGUUGUCAGGGCCUCCGUUCUUCCCCUCUUCUUGUGUUCACCGAGAGGUUAACCCUGGGGUGGGACGCUGUUACGCACUAAGGUGUUGCCCUCUUUCAGGAUGGAGGAGCCCCUGGUCUGGGGCCAGCGGAGGAGGUGAGAGUGCGG